rnacentral:rRNA from 1 species
CGAACGCUGGCGGCGUGCUUAACACAUGCAAGUCGAACGGUGAAGCGCCUUCCUUUUUGGUGGGUGUGGAUGAGUGGCGAACGGGUGAGUAACACGUGAGUAACCUGCCCCCUUCUUCUGGAUAACCGCAUGAAAGUGUGGCUAAUACGGGAUAUUCUGGGUCUGUCGCAUGAUGGGUCUGGGAAAGAUAUUGUUUCGGUGGGGGAUGGGCUCGCGGCCUAUCAGCUUGUUGGUGGGGUGAUGGCCUACCAAGGCGGUGACGGGUAGCCGGCCUGAGAGGGUGGACGGUCACACUGGGACUGAGACACGGCCCAGACUCCUACGGGAGGCAGCAGUGGGGAGUAUUGCACAAUGGGCGCAAGCCUGAUGCAGCGACGCCGCGUGAGGGAUGGAGGCCUUCGGGUUGUGAACCUCUUUCGCCAGUGAAGCAGGCCUGCCUCGUUUGUGGGUGGGUUGACGGUAGCUGGAUAAGAAGCGCCGGCUAACUACGUG